rnacentral:rRNA from 1 species
GAUGAACGCUGGCGGCGUGCCUAAUACAUGCGAGUCGAGCGAACGGACGAGAAGCUUGCUUCUCUGAUGUUAGCGGCGGACGGGUGAGUAACACGUGGAUAACCUACCUAUAAGACUGGGAUAACUUCGGGAAACCGGAGCUAAUACCGGAUGAUAUUUUGAACCGCAUGGUUCAAAAGUGAAAGACGGUCUUGCUGUCACUUAUAGAUGGAUCCGCGCUGCAUUAGCUAGUUGGUAAGGUAACGGCUUACCAAGGCAACGAUGCAUAGCCGACCUGAGAGGGUGAUCGGCCACACUGGAUCUGGGACACGGUCCAGACUCCUACGGGAGGCAGCAGUAGGGAAUCUUCCGCAAUAGGCGAAAGCCUGACGGAGCAACGCCGCGUGAGUGAUGAAGGUCUUCGGAUCGUAAAACUCUGUUAUUAGGGAAGAACAUAUGUGUAAGUAACUGUACACAUCUUGACGGUACCUAAUCAGAAAGCCACGGCUAACUACGUG